UUCAGGACAACCGGGUGGUAGCGCAGGACGUGGCACACGGCAAGGAUGGCGUGUCCGCUUUGACACGCCUGGACGAUUUCUUUACAGUCCUCUGGGGUGGUCUGCGAAGAGGAAACAAGGUUUCUCCAGUAAGAUGUGAUAUCCUUUGUGGGCAAAAGCCACCGCCGGCGCCUAGAGAGAAACAGAAGCAAAGUCUCCUUCAGCGAUGGCAAAGUGGUGUCAAACCGCAUUAAUUCUACAAUGUAGACACACUGGCCUUACCUUAUGGAGCCGGUCUGGUGUUGCAAUGAGAACGGCGUCUGCAAACCUCUCUCUCUCGGCCGCGGGUCUCCAGUCUUAAAAGAUAAAGGAUUUUGCAAAAUUAUAA